UACAGAGGGUGCAAGCGUUGCUCGGAAUUAUUGGGCGUAAAGCGCACGUAGGCGGCUUGGCAAGUCGGAUGUGAAAGCCCUCGGCUCAACCAAGGAAGUGCAUCCGAAACUGCUGAGCUUGAGUACUUAAGAGGAUCGCGGAAUUCCCGGUGUAGAGGUGAAAUUCGUAGAUAUCGGGAGGAACACCAGUGGCGAAGGCGGCGAUCUGGGAAGAUACUGACGCUGAGGUGCGAAAGCGUGGGGAGCAAACAGG
rnacentral:rRNA from 1 species